CCUAGAAUUUGAAGAACUCGUCGGAACAAAGUCAGAGAUAUCGAAAAAUCACCCAAAACAUCUACUGAUACAGGAUCGGAGCCUCAAACAGUCAGAAAAGUCCCGAUUAACCGAUUAACAUGCAUCGGAAAAAAAAUAUACGAACAGUAUUUUUCUCAGAUAACCGAAGAUAAAACUUUAGCAAAAGCUUCAUCAAGUAUCGAUAACACAUAACAGAGAAAGAUCGGAAGAUUUUCCCGCUCUGAUACCAUGAAAACAUGAAGAAUUAAAGAUGAAAAUCAGAGAAGAUGAAUCGAUAACACAUAACAGAGAAAGAUCGGAAGAUUUUCCCGCUCUGAUACCAUGAAAACAUGAAGAUUUAAAGAUGAAAAUCAGAGAAGAUGAAGAUGAACAGCAAGAGAGACAGAGAGAGAAACGGAAGCUUCUGGAGAAAGCCAGAAGACAAAUG
rnacentral:lncRNA from 1 species